UACGUAGGGGGCAAGCGUUGUCCGGAUUUAUUGGGCGUAAAGAGCGUGUAGGCGGCCUGGUAGGUCAGCUGUGAAAACUCGAGGCUCAACCUCGAGACGCCGGUUGAAACCAUCAGGCUAGAGUCCGGAAGAGGAGAGUGGAAUUCCCGGUGUAGCGGUGAAAUGCGCAGAUAUCGGGAGGAACACCGGUGGCGAAGGCGGAUCUCCGGGCCUUACCUGACGCUGAGGCGCGAAAGCUAGGGGAGCAAACAGG
rnacentral:rRNA from 1 species